rnacentral:lncRNA from 1 species
AACAAACAAACAAAACAAAAUGAAUCAAAAAUAUGGUGUCCAGUCCGAGUUAUAUAGUCCCGAAAUAGUAAAAUACGGAAAUGCAAAUCCUAUUCUAAACUAAUCCUAGACUAAGCUCCAAUGCCCCACCCAAUGCCUCGAGCCUUCAUCACGAACGUCCUCCAAGUACAAGAUACUUCGGGGAAUUCUCCGGAUAAAUCAAUACAAAUGCCUCGAGGCAUUCCCCGGCCAAAUGAAUACAUUUUUAGUGUGAGAAAAUCAAACUAUUCAACAAAAUUUCAAACAUUCUACGGAAUUUCCAACAUUCAACCAAAGCCACAAAUUCUAAACUUUGCCUACCCAACCUAUGUUUGCCUAAACCAAUCAGCGGAUCAUGAUACUAUCAAGUUCAAUUAACGUUCAUUUUAAGUCAAACAACCUAUGAAUCAAGCUAACCAAAAUUCACCAAUUAUAUCGUUUUCAAUUUUCACCUCCAAAUUCUCUUUUAACGCUAAUUUUCCUCAAUUCAAGAUUUCCAUUUCAAUGAAAUCAAGCAACAAGUCAAUGUCAAAGUAGCAAUUUAUCACUAAUCAAAAUCAAGAGCAAACAACACACAGAUUCCAUUCAAUGCACCAUAUUCCAUCAACAAUGAAAUAAAAAGAGGAAAGGAGUAGAAAUGGACCUCAAUGAUGAUUUUACUCCGAAUAUCUGUCAAUUGAGAGGACAAAUCUGCGUGCCCAAGAACCUCAAUCUGAAACCUCGGUAACAACCCAACCUCAGAUAUCAACCUCUAAGUCUCAAACCCUAAUUUUUACAUAAUUCCCCAAAAGCUGAUUGAAAACUUAGAACAAACGAGAAAUUCAAGCAAAACCGAAAUUAAAUCCGACCACAACUCCGAACGUCGACCAUAAUUUUGAGUCCGUUUCUCAACUGAGAGGUGAAGAGACUACUGGUAGCUUAUGGAUGGUGCUUUCUGGUGGAUUUGGGGUCGGGGAAGGAGUGUCUUUGGACUGAGGUGUCGUUUUCAUCUCCCCGGAGCUCCGACGAGCUUAGACCAUGACAGGAAAAGGAGGACGGAUGGAAUUUUAAUGAUAAUGGCACUUUCCAAAGAGAACCUCGCCAGAGCAGCUAACCCCCGUCACUCUUCUCCUCUCUCGACCUCUCUUCUUUUCUCAAUCUCUUUCCAAAACCCCUCCCAUUCUCUUCGAUCAAAGUUGUAUAUCAGUGUGUCGUGUGAUUAUCUUCUUCUGUGUAAGUGUAUGUAUGUAUGGUAUUGUGUGUGUGUGCAUAUUGUCUUUGCUCCAAUGGAAAAAUCUGGGAGCAUCCUCUGUCUCUAUGUGUUCAUGGCCUAUUUGUGAUGAUUUCUGGAGAGAAAAGAGAAAAUGACUAUAGGUUGGUGACUUAUCUACAUGGGCCCCCUCCUUUUUUUGUCUUUGUUGAAUUGUUAUGGAAAAGGAAAAUACUUGGAAAAUUCCCUUCUCUAUGUGUGUGAUCCAUGGGCCCCAUUUUUCUUAGUGUAUGCUUAUCUCUUUUUUGCUUUGUGCCCAAGAAAGGUGAGGAGGAGGGGGUAUGGGCUAGGGUAGGUGAUGUGUUGUCAACUUUUAAUAGGGAGGGUUGUUAGUUUGUUAUUAAAGAAGAUAAAAUUUGUUAAGGGUUGUUGGAUUUGUUAUUUUGUCAUUUUGUGGAGGAAUAAUUACACAGGGUAGGGCACGUGAUAAGGUGAGCUAAAAAUAGAUAAAAUUGAACUUCGGGAGGAAAAAAAUUAGGUGUACAUCAUGCCUCUUUUUGGGUGUAAACACAUAGUGUUUUCAGACAAAAAAGUAGACAACAAGACCAAAUUUUGACCCGACCAUUACUCAAAGGAAGAAAUAGAAGGAAGAAGGACUACUAAGUUGGAGGGUCGAGUGAGGUCCUGUCGAGGUGUCGGUCCACAGAUCUGUCAUUACAUCAAAAUAAAAAAUUACAAGUUAAAACAUAAAUGAAAUUACAAAAAUCCUAUCUAUAUAGCUUCUGUUGGCCUCUUGACUUGAGUUUCAUCACCCUAUUCUUCAGGCGGGUUCCUGACUUGCAAUUUCUUCAACUUGCUGCUUGAUUUUCAACUUCAUCAUCCUAUUCUUCAGGCGGGCUCCUGACUUGCUAUAUUUUUAAUCUAUUGACUUUCAGUUUCUUUAUCUUGUUGCUUGACCUUCAACUUCUUCACCAUGUUGCUUGACUUUUCAUUUAUUGUCUUUGUUUUCAGGCAGGCUCCUGAAAUCACAUAAAAACAAAAAAGAAAAUUAUCCCAAACAAAGAAAUGCAUCUUCUAUGAGUUAAUUGGAUUGAUUCGACUAAAAGGUACAUCUUAUAGGAAUCAAAGGGAAUGACCUAACUAAAAGGUACGUCUUAUAGGAAUCAAGGGAAUGAUUCAACUAAAUGGUAUGUUUUAUAAGAAUCAAAGGGAAUGACUCGACUAAAAGGUACGUCUUAUAGGAACCAAGGUGGAUGACUCGACUAAAAGGUACGUUUUAUUUGAAUCAAAGGGAAUAACUCGACUAAAUCGUACAUCUUAUAGGAAUCAAGGAAAAUGACUUGACUAAAAGGCACGUCUUAUAGGAAUCAAGGGGGAUGACUCGACUCAAAAGGUACAUCUUAUAGGAAUCAAAGAGGGAUGACCCGACUAAAAGGUACGUCUUAUAGGAAUCAAGGGAAAUGACUCGACUAAAAGGUACGUCUUAUAGGAAUCAAGAAAAAUGACUUGAGUAAAAGGUACGUCUUAUAGGAAUCAUGUGGGAUGACUCGACUAAAUGGUACGUCUUAUAGGAAUCAAGGGGGAUACUCAACUAAAAGGUACGUCUUAUAGGAAUCAAGGGAGAUGACUCGACUAAAAGGUACGUUUUAUAGGAAUCAAGGGGGAUAACUAGACUAAAAGGUACGUCUUAUAGGAAUCGAGGGUAAUGACUCGACUAAAGGGUAUGUCUUCUAAGAGUUAAGGGGAAUGACUCGACUAGAAGGUACGUCUCCUAGGAGUGAAGGUUCAAUUUAAGAAGUGUAUCACCUAGCAAAUAAAAACUGAAAUCCCUAGACAAGAAAGUGUAUCUCCGAGGGAUAUAGGAUGAUGAAUUUUACCAUGAUUUGAUUAUCAAACUGUGCAUCAAUAUUUUUCCUGCAUUUGUAGGAAUGAGGCAUUGCAACCCUUGAUAUUUAUGCUCUGAAGUCCUUGAUUUAAAGGUAACAUGUUUCCUGAUUCAUCAAAGAAAACUUGUGAGUUUAAAAACAUGGUGGCUGGUUUGUGGUUUUAGCUUUCGCGGCAAUCGCUCUUGCCUUCAUCACAUUUAACCCCGCUUUCAACAAUUAGCAUAUAUCAUUGAUUUGCUGAAUCAUUAACUUAAGCUCAGAUUAUUAAGAGUGACUGAAACAAACACAGUAGCUCUGCUUUGCCAUUCUUCUCAAAUAGACCCUUUAAACCUUGGUAUUUUUAUGAGUUCCCAGACUUGUCUGUUGAGAAAAAUUUUGCAUGCCUUAUUUCAGCUCACAAUCAUGUGCCUUUCAUGUGGUGACCUUUCGUUUUGCUUUGUGCAAUUAAAGAAGCUGGUAGCCAGUUUUGAGAUCCUUUAUCACUUGUUUUGACAUGGAAUUGACUCAAAGACAAGAGAAAAAUAACAACAAUUUUUCUUUUAUUUGGAUAACUGACUUAAGAAAAUAAAAAUAUAACUAUAGAAAAGAAAGAAAUGACAAUGAAUGUUUCCAUUGAAAAAGAUGAAAGAAAAGUUUAUCUGGAAAUAACAGUCAACUCUAAUGAUUAUGACAUGCAUAUCAAAUUAAGUUGCCUGAUCUUUCCAUCCAAAACCCUCACAAAUCGUUGUUGAGUUAAUGACCCUAAAAGUGAGUUGCUUCCUUGGGCCAAUUACAUUCGGAGACCUCAUUCGGCUAGUGGCGCCUUGAAGGGUUUCCGCCAACAAGCCUCUCUCAUUUCUUUUUAUCACCUCACCAUUGCCUUAUGGUAUCCAAGAGCUUUUUUCACCAAUAAGACUCUCUCAUUUUAUCUCUCUCAACUUACCAUCAUCUUACGGUGCCCGUGAGUGUUUUCACCAAUAAGACUCUCUCAUUUUUAUUUCUCUCUUGAUUUUGCUGAGGAAGAUAAGUAGUUCUCAAAAUGCGUCAUCACGUCCAUUACAUGCUUAGCCUUAACAUUCUCGAAGAUUGAUCUGAAGGUGUUUCUUUGGUUGAAACUUAGAUUUUGGAUAGGGUUAGAAAGAAAGGAUGGUAUGGGGCCCAAACGACACUUAAAGUGGGAUAGGACUUACAACUUUUGGAAUUAAUUCAAACACUGAGGAUUAAUUUAUGCCCCAAUUUCUUCUGACUGGGUGACUCUAAAUUAUUUAUUUGGUUGGACCGAGCCCCGGGUAGGGCAACCUACGUAUCUCAUCCCCGAAAGAGGAGAAUCAGGUCACGCGUAGUUCUGAAAGCUUAUUCUUUUUUGCUUGAUUUUGACUUGUUCUUUUUUUUUUUGGCUCUUUUUUCUUUGUGAUUUUUCUGACUCUAAUUUCUUGACACUCUUUUCUUCCUUCUUGGACACAUUUUUUUUAAUUUUCUGACUCUAUUCUCUUGCUCGAUACUUUUUUGUUGAGUUUUGCUGGCUUUAUCUUGAUUUCAAAAGAGGGGUAUGAAAGAAAAUAACACUAAGGAUCAAAUGGGGUAAACAAAUGAUGACACAAUGUUUGGAUAGCAGAAUAAAAUGCCUCCGUCAUAUCAAUCCUUGAAAAUACUAGUACAUAGCAUGCAAUGUGAAAGUGCACGAUCAAUAUCCCUUAUGACAUGUUUUACAACACUAACUUGCCCCGAGCAUGUGUGUCACCUCUUUUAUAUACUUUCCAAACAUAGAACUCCACAUUUGUUGUACAUCCCUCACUUUGAAUGACUCAUGCUUUCGUGAAGUUGAUUUUUUUUUGUUCCUCUUGAUAGGAUCACACAGACACUAUUUGACCUCAUUGAGACAUGUCUUUUAAUUGAUGACCAAGUUAUUCUUGUGAUUCUCAAAAUAAAUGACCUUAAUUUUCAAAGAAGGCUUGAACUUGUCACCAAAUAUCUCAGCACUUUACCACUCUGAUCCAAUGUUUCAUGGUUAAAUUGAAUUUUAAGAUCUGGCUGAAAAUUUCACAAGCACGUCAUAUCACUAGAGUCAACAUAAAAUGUACUGUAUAAAGAAAACAAACAAACAACACAUAUUUAAAACAUAAAGGAAAAGGGACAAUUCAUUUAGUUGAAAUAAAAGAUAGAAGGAUUUGAACCUAAACGACAAAAGGACAAAACAAGAUAGAUCCCGAACUACAACCCUGAAAUAAUUCAAAAAAUAAAAAAGGAAACAAAACAAACUACCAGACCAGUUCCUAGUAGGGAGAGGAGUGACUUCUCAAUUGUUCAGCCUGACAACUUAGCCACUGGUUUGCAUAUCAACCUGACUAGAGCUUCCCUCACUGUCAAUAUUUUGCACCAUAAUUGAUCCAUCUUGAAUUAUAUUUUCAAUUUCUCUUUUUAAAUCUCGACAAUCUUCAAUACUAUGACCCCGAGCAUCAGAAUGAUACGCACAUCAUACAUUAGGAUCAAAAUUUCUUAAACGCCGAUUAAGAGUGCACUCAAGGAGAGGAGUGAUCAUACCCCAUUGUAUCAAUCUCUGAAAUAAACUGGCAUACGACUCUCCAAUUGGUGUGAAGCUAUCUCUGAACUUCUGCCUUAUUUCGUCAUUUGGGUUGGCACAAUAAUUAGGCUUAGCAGGGUUUUGGUAUGUUUAUGAAGUUAGAGGACGACUCUAAGGAGUUAGUGUGUUCCACUGUGGGUAAUAUGGGGGCUGAACAUGUGACUGUGCGUUAUAUACUGGAUAUAGAGAUGGAGGAGCAGAGUAUAAUGGAUUUUGGGAGUGAUUAUGUGGAGCUUGGGCAUGAACUUGGGUUUGAGCUUGAGAGUGAUGACAACGGGGUCUUCUUGACCGUGCCUGCUGUCCAACUACAAUAGAAGAUGCAACUUCCUCAUUCUUUGUCUCCCCAAUACUUCCUGAACCCUUUUGAAUUGCUUGAGUUGUCGCUUUCAAUAUUGUAAAACUCACAAUGCAACCCGUCUUAAUUAUCUCUUCUAUCAUCGCCCCCAUUUUAAGGACCUCAAUAAAUGACUUGCCUAAUGCAGGUAACAAGUGUUGAUAAUAUAUUUCAUCCUGCGCUUGAAUAAACACCACCACUAUUUUGCUUUCUUUCAUUGACGGUUUCACUUUAGCAGCUUGUUCGCGCCAUCUGAUCGCAUACUCCCUGAAGCUCUCAGUAUUCUUUUUCUUCAUACUUGUUGGGGAUUUUUCGUCAGGGAUCAACUCCACAUUAUAUUGAAAUUGUUGCACAAAUUCAUUAGCUAGGUCAUCCCAACUAAUCCACUUAUCGAUGUCUUGGUCAACAAAUCAUUCUGAAGCUAGGCCUGAAAGACUCUCAUCGAAAUAAGCCAUGAGUAGCUCUUUCUUCCCUCCAACGCCUCUUAAUUGGUUACAAUAGCGCCUCAAAUGUGCCACUGGGUCCCCAUGUCCUUUAUACUUCUCAAACUUUGGCAUUAUAAAGCAAGGAGGAAGGUUGACACCUGGAAACAUGCAUAAGUCCUUAUAUGAGAUACUUUUGUAACCCUCAAGUCCUUGCAAGUUCUUCAUAGCUAGUUCCAAACUUAUCAAUUUUGUGGUCAUUUUCUCUUGUUCUUCUGUCAUAACAGGCUUCUCAGUGUUAGGAUGAAAUUCAGGCGGGUGAGUGUCACCAUAAAGACCAGUCAACUUGAAUGUAGGCUCAAAAGUGUAACCUUGAUCACGAGUAAUAUUCAAUGCAGACUAUCUUGUAGAGUAGGGAGACACAACUUGUGGAUGAACAUCAAAAGUAGGAGCUUCAAUUGGGGGUGGCGCCGCAAAAGCAUGAACAACAGGUGGAGCCGAGUAUAUGGUAGUCUUGGAUUGGGGAGUGAGAAAAUGAACAUUGGAAGUGGUUGGAUAUUGUUGCCCUAGAGUCGAUCCUGAUGCAUGAUGUGGCAUAUCAAUAAAAAUGGGAAAUUGUGCAUAUGACAUGGGAGGCAAGCUAGAAAGAUAUUCCAUAUUAUCAGUGGGAAUAGGAGGAGGCGGCAACCCAUUAGCCCAAGCUCGAUGUAUUUCUAUCAUUUGCUGCCUUAAUUUUCGAAUCUCUUCAUUAUCUCCUAAAUUCUCAUUUUCCGAACUCCCUAUCUGAUUAGUGACAACAAACUCGGUAUCUUUGUUGGCCAUAACCUUCUCUGUGACUUGGUGCAAUAUGGAGGACCAUCCAAAAUACCACAAACCAACCACCUCAAACUAACUGAACAAGAGAUAGCAAAUGCGUUAAAAUUCAACACUUUCUCAAAAUCUCUUCUUUUUUGUUUUUAUUUUUUUAAAAGAUCACCGAACCCAAGAAGGGCUCCUACAUAUCUCACUCCCGAAAGAGGAGAAUCAGGUGUGCGUAGUUCGUGAAGUCUUGCCGAAAUGGCCAAUUAAACUCUUUUUCUUUUUCUUGAAAUUUUAAGAAGAAAAGAAAAAUGACAAAUUGUCAAAAGAAUAGACAAAAAUCUUUUUUUGAAUUUUCCACCUUUAAUAACCUAUAAAAAAUGAAACCUAUGAUUACCAAAGAAACUCUUUUUGGGUUUUCAAUUUUGAAUUUCAUACUAAAAUGAAACUUGAACCUAUUAAAGAAUUUUUUUUUUUUUAGUUUUCUUUAAAGAUGUAUAUGAAACACCUACUCUAAUAAAGAGUGAAGAAAAUCUUCUUUUUUUUUUGAAUUUUUCAAAUAAGAUCCACCAAAAAUAAAACCUACGAUUAUUAAGGAAAAUCUUGUCAUACCCCUUUUUCAACAUCCAAAGAUUAUGUUUUAACGGUCGAAAGGGUUUUAAUUAUUAAAGUGAUAAAAGAUGAAAAUUUGUUUCAAAAAAGGAUUAUUUUUAACAAUCAAAACUCAGAGUCGCCACUUGGCAUAAAUCGGGUGUGCCAAGUCACCCAUGGAUAUCCUUUUUAAAAUGGUUUUGACUCUUUAAUACUGAUUUGCGAACAGAGAUUCCGGCUAAGGAAUUCUGUUGACCAAGGGGAAGGUGUUAGGCAUCCCUCGAUCUCGUGGUUUGACCAUGGUCGCUUGGCAGAGCGUAUCAGCUAAAUUGACAUUACAAAUGCAUAAACCACACAAAGCACGCAAAAACAAUUACUCAAGCAAACAAAACAAAAUAAUCCAAAAUAUAAUGUCCAGUCCAAUUAUACAUUCCUAAAAAAUGAAAAAUACGAAAAUGUAAACCUAUUCUAUUCUAAACUAAUCCUAAACUACUCCUAUGCUUUACCUGACACCCCGGGCCUUCCUCACGAACGUCUUCAGCCAACAUAAUACGUUGGGGCAUUCCCCGGUGAAUAAAUACAAAUCCCUCGGGACAUUCCCCGGCCAAAUAAAUACAAUAGAUCUCAAUGCAUAAAUCAAAACCACUCCACAAAUAUUUCAUCAUUCAACAAUCACAGAUCCUAAACUUUGCCUACUCGAGCCUACUGUUUGCCUACCCAACUCGACCUCAUGGCACUAUCACGAUCGACGGCGUCCAUGAAUCAAAACAACAAUAAAUCAAAAUUAAUCCUAAUUCACUCUAGCAAAUUUUUUCAAUUCGCGCCCCAAACAACAAAUUUUAUUUCUUAAACGAGAGAUCAUUUCACCAUACAAACCAUAAUCAAAGGACCAACCAAGAAUCAAAACAAACAUACAUUCAUCACCAACAAGGAUCAACUCAACACACGAUAUUUAAUCCAACACAUCAAAUAUAGUAAACAAUGAAAUAAAAGAGGAAAAAUAUAGAAUUGAACCUCAAAAGAUUUUGAUUGAUUUAAGAAGAGAAAUAAUAGCCGUCCCGGAGCCUCGAAGAAUACCACAAUCUCAACUAUGAUCCAACUCCAACCUGAUAGUCUUCAAAAUCCAAUUCGAAUCCCCGAAACCAUGACAAACGGUGAACCCCAAAAAACAAGAAUCACAAGAAAACCAAGAAAACUACAUGCCCGGAGCUUAGAUGAACUUGAACAAUCGCGAAUGUCAACGAGAAAGGCUGAUUCUGGUGACUUCUAGUGUUUUUCGGCCGGGUUAGCCUAGAAACCACCGGAAAAAAAUGGAGAAAUUUGGGAUUUAUGAGCUGGAUCGUCCGUUUCAGCGUUACUCGAAAUGGGACGAAGCUGACGAACUCUGACGAGAUUAGAAGGAAUAUAACUAGAAAAAUUGGAUCAAAUUUUGAGCUGCGAUGACACUUUUUCUGGCAGCGAAUCACCGGAACAGUCUACCACCACCAGUUCCCUAUCCCUCUCUCCUUAUUUUCACUUUCUUUUUCUCUGAUAUGUCUUGAUUUCUCUUUCUCCGAUCACCCCGAUCUCUAUCUCUCACGUCAUUUUCCUAUCAUCCCUCUCUUUGUUUAUCUUCUCUUGAUUUACUCUCGUUCAACUUUCCUUUCCCUUCUUUACUAUGUAGUGUGUGUGUAUUGUUCUUGAUGAAUCAAAAAUGAAACCCAAAAAUGGAGCUUCUUCCUUGGAAAAAGGAAGAAGAUGAUACUCCUUUUGUUGCCCUUUCCUUUUGAUGAUGAUUCCCCCUAUAUAUAUUUCUUUUUUGUCCCACAAAAAGGAGGGGGUCACGUUGGGUAGGGGUAUGGUAGGUAGGUAGAGAGUGGGGUGGUGAUAUGGUUUAUUUUGAUUGGAUAGGUUGUUAGGAUAAAAUAAAAUAAUAUGAAAUUUUUUUAGGGAGUUUGUUAUUUUUUGUCAUUUUAUGGAGGGAUAAUUACAUGGGUGAGGGUAUACGGUAGAAUAAGGUAAAAUGGGUAAAAAAAUAUUAUUGGGGAGGGACGAAAUUAGGUGUCUACAAAUCUUUUUGUAUUUUUCUUUUCAAGGCAUAUAUGAAACACCUACUCUAAAUAAGGAGAAGAAUCAGGGGUGCGUAGUUCGUCCAGAUUGGACAAUAAGUAUUAAAACGAACUAAGACUUGACUUGAGAGACGUGAUUACAGAUGGACGAUGAGAAAUAAAAUCUUUUUGGGUUUUCAAUUAGACACUUCACACAAAACUGACACCAACAACUAUGAAAGAGAAAAAAAAAAUCCUUUUUGCAUUUUCGCUAUAUGAAAUGUACAAAACUUCUACCAUUUUUCAUUUUCUUUUAUAAGAACUGCUGAAUUUUAUUUUAUUUUUUGAAAAUUUCAAAUUAUGAAUGCAUGCUAAAGGAGACAAAGUGAGAAAUCCUUUUGAUGUUUUGAUUUUUGAACAAAUAAGUGCAUAAAAUAAAGAAAUCUUUUUGAAUUUUUGAAUUGUGAAAAACAAAAGCCAUAAAGAACACUAAAAACUACGGAACUUUUUUUUUUCAAACGGUUUCUUGUCUACUUACUUUACUUUUAACAGAUGUUUUCCCCAAAUCAGUCCGUCAAAUGACCAUGUUACCUUCAAAGAUGCAACAUUUAGCACGUAGGGAUGCUUUAGAGACGAUUCUCCUACAAAGGGCCAAGUGGGCCCUGCUAGGUCUUCAAUAUGAUGCACAUAAGCAUAACCCAAAGACUGACCUACGUUGGGGUUCACUAUGGUCGACAGUGGUUGCUUUGCUUUCCACCUACUCCAUAACACCAACGGUUCCCCCCCUAAAAUAAGGGUGACUCAACUAGAGGUCGUGUACAACACGUGUACUACAGACUUAUUGCAGAAAGAAUGACUCGAGUUAUGCAUAUGAUGCCAGAUAUAAAGCGGUAACACAUAAGAUAAAAACUGUAAACAAAGAGUACGUAGGCACUCAACAGUGAUAAUAUAAUAACACAAAACAACACAAACAAAAUGUCCAUACACCUAUAGUGCCAAACUAAGCCAAUAACAACUCCAAAAUAAGCUCGAAUUCUUAAAAAUCCCCAGCGGAGUCGCCAGCGCUGUCACACCCCCUUUUUUUUUACUCCAAAGAAAAGAUUUCAUUUUAAGUUUUGAAAGGGUUUUUAUUAUCGAGUGACAAAAAUGAAAAUUUGUUUCGAAAAAAGAUUAUUUACAUUUAAACUUAGAGUCGCCACUUGGCAUAAACCUGUGUGUCAAGUCACCUUUGGAAAAUCCUUUUCAAAAUGAUUUGACUCUUGAAACUGGUUUGCGAACAGAGAUUACGGUUAAGGAAUUCUAUUGAUCGAGAGGAAGGUGUUAGGCACCCCUCGAUCCCGUGGUUUGACCACGGUGCUUGGUAGAGUGAAUCAGCUAAUUUGGCACUACGAUGUACAAACCACACAAAAACACGUAAAAAAACAAACAAACAAACAAAAUAAAAUGAAUAAAAAAUAUGGUGUCUAGUCCAAGUUAUACAAUCCCGAAAUAGGAAAAUACGAAAAUGCAAAUCCUAUUCUAAACUAAUCUUAGACUACGCUCCAAUGCCUCACCCGAUGCCUCGGGCCUUCAUCGCGAACGUCCUCCAAGUACAAGAUACUUCGGGGCAUUCCCCGAAUAAAUCAAUACAAAUCCCUCGAAGCAUUCUCCGGCCAAAUGAAUACAUUUUUAGUGCAAGAAAAUCAAACUAUUCAACAAAAUUUCAAACAUUCCAUGGAAUUUCCAACAUUCAACCAAAGCCACAAAUUCUAAACUUUGCCUACCCAACCUAUGUUUGCCUAAACCAAUCGACGUAUCUUGAUACUAUCAAGUUCAAUUAACGUUCAUUUCAAGUCAAACAACCUAUGAAUCAAGCUAACCAAAAUUUACCAAUUAUAUCAAGUUUUUAAUUUUCACCUCAAAAUUCCCUUUAACGCUAAUUUUCCUCAAUUCACGAUUUCCAUUUCAAUGAAAUUAAGCAACAAGUCAAUGUCAAAGUAGCAAUUUAUCACUAAUCAAAAUCAAGAUCAAACAACACACAGAUUCCAUUCAAUGCACCAUAUUCCAUCAACAAUGAAAUAAAAAGAGGAAAAGAGUAGAAGUGGACCUCAAUGAUGAUUUUACUCCGAAUAUCAGUCAAUUGAGAAGAUGAAUCUGUGUGCCCAAGAACCUCGAUCUGAAACCUCGGUAACAACCCGACCUCAGAUAUCAACCUCCAAGUCUCGAACCCUAAUUUUUACACAAUUCCCCAAAAGCUGAUUGGAAACUUAGAACAAAUGAGAAAUUCAAGCAAAAUCGAAAUUAAAUCUGACCACAACUCCGAACGUCGACCACAAUUUUGAGUCCGUUUCUCAACUGAGAGGUGACGAGGCUACUGGUAUCUCGUGGAUGGUGUUUUCUGGUGGCUUUGGGGUCGGGGAAGGAGUGUCUUUGGACUGAGGUGUCGUUUUCGUCUCGCCGGAGCUCCGGCGAGCAUAGA